rnacentral:rRNA from 1 species
GACGAACGCUGGCGGCGUGCUUAACACAUGCAAGUCGAACGGAAAGGCCCUGCUUUUGUGGGGUGCUCGAGUGGCGAACGGGUGAGUAACACGUGAGUAACCUGCCCUUGACUUUGGGAUAACUUCAGGAAACUGGGGCUAAUACCGGAUAGGAGCUCCUGCUGCAUGGUGGGGGUUGGAAAGUUUCGGCGGUUGGGGAUGGACUCGCGGCUUAUCAGCUUGUUGGUGGGGUAGUGGCUUACCAAGGCUUUGACGGGUAGCCGGCCUGAGAGGGUGACCGGCCACAUUGGGACUGAGAUACGGCCCAGACCCCUACGGGAGGCAGCAGGGGGGAAUAUUGCACAAUGGGCGGAAGCCUGAUGCAGCAACGCCGCGUGCGGGAUGACGGCCUUCGGGUUGUAAACCGCUUUCGCCUGUGACGAAGCGUGAGUGACGGUAAUGGGUAAAGAAGCACCGGCUAACUACGU